CAGUAGCCGCGGUAAUACAGAGGAUGCAAGCGUUAUCCGGAAUUAUUGGGCGUAAAGCGCGCGUAGGCGGUUUUUUAAGUCUGAUGUGAAGGCCCACGGCUCAACCGUGGAGGGUCAUUGGAAACUGGAAAACUUGAGUGCAGAAGAGGAAAGUGGAAUUCCAUGUGUAGCGGUGAAAUGCGCAGAGAUAUGGAGGAACACCAGUGGCGAAGGCGACUUUCUGGUCUGUAACUGACGCUGAUGUGCGAAAGCGUGGGGAUCAAACAGGAUUAGAUACCCGUGUAGUCCCUGUCUCUUAUAC
rnacentral:rRNA from 1 species